rnacentral:rRNA from 1 species
ACUUAAAUUGAAGAGUUUGAUCAUGGCUCAGAUUGAACGCUGGCGGCAGGCCUAACACAUGCAAGUCGAACGGUAGCACAGAGAGCUUGCUCUCGGGUGACGAGUGGCGGACGGGUGAGUAAUGUCUGGGAAACUGCCUGAUGGAGGGGGAUAACUACUGGAAACGGUAGCUAAUACCGCAUAACGUCGCAAGACCAAAGUGGGGGACCUUCGGGCCUCAUGCCAUCAGAUGUGCCCAGAUGGGAUUAGCU